UGGGGAAUAUUGCACAAUGGGCGAAAGCCUGAUGCAGCGACGCCGCGUGGGGGAUGACGGCCUUCGGGUUGUAAACCUCUUUCAGCAAGGAAGAAGCGAAAGUGACGGUACUUGCAGAAGAAGCGCCGGCUAACUACGUGCCAGCAGCCGCGGUAAUACGUAGGGCGCAAGCGUUGUCCGGAAUUAUUGGGCGUAAAGGGCUUGUAGGUGGCUUGUCGCGUCUGCCGUGAAAACCCAGGGCUUAACUCUGGGCGUGCGGUGGGUACGGGCAGGCUAGAGUGCGGUAGGGGAGACUGGAAUUCCUGGUGUAGCGGUGAAAUGCGCAGAUAUCAGGAGGAACACCGAUGGCGAAGGCAGGUCUCUGGGCCGUUACUGACACUGAGAAGCGAAAGCAUGGGGAGCGAACAGG
rnacentral:rRNA from 1 species